UCUGGCGGCAGUAGCGCGGUGGUCCCACCUGACCCCAUGCCGAACUCAGAAGUGAAACGCCGUAGCGCCGAUGGUAGUGUGGGGUCUCCCCAUGCGAGAGUAGGGAAC
rnacentral:rRNA from 3 species